rnacentral:lncRNA from 1 species
CAGCAAUUAACUAUGGACUGCGUAAAGCGUCUGGAGUGCACAGAUUAAAUGAGGUACUGAAGAAGAAUGUGCUCAGCGAUCAAUGUUUCUAACUCAAAAAAUGCAAAGUCCCCAUUUUCCAUUUCGUUUCUGUUCAAACUGGCUCACUCCAGAGCUAGUCAGCAACCCUGAAUGUGAUGGCAAGAAGAUCAACGAGCCGUUUCUUGUCCCAUUUCUUAGGUUAGGCACUUUCUGAGCCUCAUUUUUUUUCUUCUCCUUAUGGGAUUGAUCUGAGCUGCUGAAGUCAGUGGAUGCGUAUGCUGACUUGAAUGAGAAAUUAUGCCUUUCUUCACUGAAGCCUCUUGUGAGAAGAACUGCAAAAACUGUUCAUCAGAACUCAGUUUGGGACAGUGUCGUACUUCCAGUCCAACACCGGAGAAGGAACGGGUGAAGGAGACGUCUUAUCCCUGAUCACCACAGAAAAAGAGCAAAGCACAAAAGAGCUGUGCACUCUUGGGCUCGGGGAGUAUCCGUGGAAAGUGAGCGUACUGCAGUUCUUGUACCCUGAGAAGUGAGGAGGUGCUCUACUCUCUGCUCCAGGGAGCCAGCACAGAUCCCAGCCAUUUCCUCCUCCCGUCCUUACAAGUGAGGUGAGAUAAGACCAGCUUGAGGGGGUGGGGAGGAAUUGCAGCUCUCUCAGCCUGUCCUCAGAGGAGAGGCAUUCCAUCUCUCACAUCAUUUCUGUGGCCCUUCUCUGGAUGUAGUCCAACAUGUCCACAUCUCUCCUGUAGUGAGGACUCUACAUCUGGACACGGUACUGCAGGUGAGGCCUCA